rnacentral:rRNA from 1 species
UACGAAGGGGGCUAGCGUUGCUCGGAAUCACUGGGCGUAAAGCGCACGUAGGCGGAUUGUUAAGUCAGGGGUGAAAUCCUGGAGCUCAACUCCAGAACUGCCUUUGAUACUGGCGAUCUUGAGUCCGGGAGAGGUGAGUGGAACUGCGAGUGUAGAGGUGAAAUUCGUAGAUAUUCGCAAGAACACCAGUGGCGAAGGCGGCUCACUGGCCCGGAACUGACGCUGAGGUGCGAAAGCGUGAGGAGCAAACAGG